AAACUUCUGGGGUGUACGAGGACUUAAUUAAUGUCUAACCUACAUUAAUUUUAGGGAACCUGAAUUGAUUUCGGAAGAUGGAUAAUUGCCCGCGUGACAAGUAACAGACACCGAGCUUAGGGAACCCACCUGCGAGUAAGCAGGUCUAGACAUUUGGAGGAACCGGCAUUUUGGAAACCUU
rnacentral:other from 1 species